rnacentral:lncRNA from 1 species
GGGAGGGGAGGGGGACAGUCCCUAAGCCCGGACCCCCAUCCGGGGGGGUGGGAGGGAGCAUGGAGGUGGCGAGGCGGGGGCUGAUGGCCGGCGGUGCUUCCCGCAGCAGACAGACGAGGCGGCACAGACAGAGAGCCAGCAGCUACACUCCUCAGACAACACAGACAAGCAGCAGCCCAAGAGGUUACACGUCUCCAACAUCCCCUUCCGAUUCCGGGACCCCGACCUGCGGCAAAUGUUCGGGCAAUUCGGGAAGAUCCUGGAUGUGGAGAUCAUUUUCAAUGAGCGGGGCUCCAAGGUGGGUGCUGCCCGUGGCCGGUGCCGUUACAGGGAGGGGGUCAGGGGGAGCUGGGGUUCCUGGGGGCUCCUCUGCCUGCUCUCCCCUCCUCUCCUGCCCCACGGGAUCCAGGCACGGGGUAUCCCAUCCUGGGGCAGCCCUGUCCCGGCUGGGGGGGCUGUGCAGGUCCCUGUGCCCCGAGGGAGGGGAGGGCUGGCUCUGCCCCCCCGGCCCUGCACAGGCAGCUCAUGUCCCUCUGUGUGUGGAUGUCUCUGUUGUAUCUUCCCUGCUUUCUGUGCCCCUCUCCCAGACUCUUCUCCCAGCUGGUGGGCGAUGCUGGGGCCUCAGCCGGGACCCCCGGCGCCAGCGGGGGCCCUGACCCAGGCUCUCCAUCUCUGCACUGCGGCAGCCUCAUCUCCUGCGCCAGCUCUCCUGAUUCACCCCCUCUCUCUCUCUGUCCCCACACCCUCUCUCUGUCUCUCUCUCUCUCUCUCUCUGUCUCUUUCUUUCUCCUUUUCUCCUCUGCUCACAGGGUUUUGGGUUUGUAACUUUUGAAACUAGCACAGAUGCCGACCGGGCACGGGAGAAGCUGAAUGGCACCAUCGUAGAGGGCCGGAAGAUUGAGGUGCUCAGAUAAGUGUGCUAGUGCCAUGCCUGCGUGUGCGUGUGUCCCCUGCGCCCUGCCCGGGGGGCUGCAGGCAGGGCAGAGCCACCCCGGGGACCACGGGCAGGGGGAACGUUUUGGGGCAGCCCCAGGUCCCGCAUGUCCCGGGGGAGGCUGUUCCCGGCGCGUGCAUGCGUCCCUGAAUGUGGCACGGGAGCAUGUGUGCCCGCUGCCGGGGAGGUCGUCACUUGGCACAAGGAGCAUCCAGCUCAAAGGAGCCUCCUGCGUGCGGGGAGAGCGCGGCCCGGGCUCUGCCUGCGUUUUGCCCGGUUACAGAGGGGUCUGGUGGACCCCGGCUGCCCGCAGCCCCCCCUACCCACCACACAGCCCACCCUGGGCUCUGCAGGGAGGAGAGGGGCUCCCUGCUCCGCGUGCCGUCCCCACUCCCCUGCCCCGGGAGGCAUGGAUGCUGCGCAGGGCACCCGUGCCCGCUGUGCCAGCGGCUGCCGUGCUGCCUGGCCCCAGGAAUUCUGCUUCUUGGAGCCGGGCAGAGGGACCAGGCUCUGCCCGUUCACUGGCAGCACCUCGCUGAUCGGCGGCGAGCAGAGGGAAGGGGGCGGCACGUG